UAUAUCCUUAUAAUUGCAGAAUUUCCACCAUGAAUGUUGUAUCUGUAACCAGCAAUACAUUUUUCACAGCUAAGUAUAUCACCACUGAAUAGCCAUUCUUGUCAGAGCACUGCAGGAUUUCGCUGUGGUUUUUCAGGAAUACCAACUGUGGCCAUAGAAGCAUAUUUUCCUUGGAAACUAGAUAUUAUAAAUAUGAUAGAGGAAUAUCUAAUAUCUUCAAUUCACAUCCUAGUAAUAAGCUAUAGUUUGCUAUAUGAUAUGAAGUCAACAAUGUAAUCUAUUUAAAGCUCAGUUAAAAUGUUACUUUUAUUUUUAAGCAGAAUCAACUAGAGAGGGAAAAGUUCAAGGACAGAAAGAAUACAGAGGAAGAGGAGUGUUAAUGAAUUAUUGAAUCAUGUAUCCCUUUUCUGCUAGGAACAAUGGGCUCGCCCAGGAAGUAGUCCUAAAUUCGUUCUGGAACAAAGAACAGGAACUGCCGGCUCAGUGUUCAGUAUUCAGACUGCAGAUCCAUGACUCACCAGUGGACCACCUGGCUAAAUGAACACAGAGGAUCUGGUCUGCUGCUGGCCAUUCCCCUACAUCUUGCUGAUUCUGCCUCUAGUUUGCAUCUGGAAAUUCCAUUUUCCUUUAAAGCAUGUGUAAAUCAAUGUCACUGUCCACUUUUCAAUACAACUUCAAAUGAGUUUCUUAGCUGAGAUUGUUUUUCAGAACAAUGCACUGCAGUUCAAAUUUUUUUUUCUUUGCUUUUUAGGGUUGCACCCACAGCAUAUGGAGGUUCCU